GGGGAAUAUUGCACAAUGGGCGCAAGCCUGAUGCAGCGACGCCGCGUGAGGGAUGGAGGCCUUCGGGUUGUAAACCUCUUUUAUCGGGGAGCAAGCGAGAGUGAGUUUACCCGUUGAAUAAGCACCGGCUAACUACGUGCCAGCAGCCGCGGUAAUACGUAGGGUGCAAGCGUUAUCCGGAAUUAUUGGGCGUAAAGGGCUCGUAGGCGGUUCGUCGCGUCCGGUGUGAAAGUCCAUCGCUUAACGGUGGAUCCGCGCCGGGUACGGGCGGGCUUGAGUGCGGUAGGGGAGACUGGAAUUCCCGGUGUAACGGUGGAAUGUGUAGAUAUCGGGAAGAACACCAAUGGCGAAGGCAGGUCUCUGGGCCGUUACUGACGCUGAGGAGCGAAAGCGUGGGGAGCGAACAGGAUUAGAUACCCUGGUAGUCCACGCCGUAAACGGUGGAUGCUGGAUGUGGGGCCCGUUCCACGGGUUCCGUGUCGGAGCUAACGCGUUAAGCAUCCCGCCUGGGGAGUACGGCCGCAAGGCUAAAACUCAAAGAAAUUGACGGGGGCCCGCACAAGCGGCGGAGCAUGCGGAUUAAUUCGAUGCAACGCGAAGAACCUUACCUGGGCUUGACAUGUUCCCGACGGUCGUAGAGAUACGGCUUCCCUUCGGGGCGGGUUCACAGGUGGUGCAUGGUCGUCGUCAGCUCGUGUCGUGAGAUGUUGGGUUAAGUCCCGCAACGA
rnacentral:rRNA from 1 species